GGAGUCGGUCAGGCAGCCGCUGCCGGUCAUCGACCGGGGGAGGAAAGUCCGGGCUUCGCAGGGCAGGAUGCUGGCUAACGGCCAGGCGCUAUACGCCGCAAGGCCAAGGCGACGGAAAGUGCAACAGAGAAAAGACCGCCGAUGGCUUCCGUUCGCGGAAGAUCAGGCAAGGGUGAAACGGCGAGGUAAAAGCUCACCGCAGGACUGGCGACAGGACUGGCAUGGCAAACCCCAUCCGAAGCAAGACCAAAUAGGGAAGCAUACGGCGUUGCCCGCGCCGCUUCCGGGUAGGUUGCUGGAGCCGCGUGGCAACGCGCGGCCUAGAGGAAUGGCUGCCAGGGCGCAAGCGCCCCCACAGAACCCGGCUUAUCGACCGGCUCCCGCU
rnacentral:RNase_P_RNA from 1 species